rnacentral:rRNA from 1 species
UACAGAGGUCCCAAGCGUUUGUUCGGAUUCAUUGGGCGUAAAGGGUGCGUAGGCGGCGCGGUAAGUCGGGUGUGAAAUCUCGGGGCUUAACUCCGAAACUGCAUUCGAUACUGCCGUGCUUGAGGACUGGAGAGGAGACUGGAAUUUACGGUGUAGCGGUGAAAUGCGUAGAUAUCGUAAGGAAGACCAGUGGCGAAGGCGGCAUCCUGGACCGGUAUUGACACUGAGGAGCGAAAGCCAGGGGAGCAAACGGG